UUUUUAUUUCAUGCUCUAUAAAGAAUAUUUGUGUGAUUGUAUAAUUUUUUUUGAGUAAUUAGCGACGAAAUUCCUUCAUAUUUACAUUCUUAUACACAUAACUCCCAAUUCUUUUUUUUUUUUGCCAGUGAAACCUCCCAAUCCACUGUUGUAUUAGCAAAUCUAAGGUAUCAACCAUUCCAGUCUGUUAACUGCCACAAUAGACAAUUUGCGUGUAUGCAAGGGUACAUGUGGCACGUUUUAUUGGUCCAUAUUAUUUAUUUAUUUAAAUAUUAUAAAAAUAAUUUAAAAUUAAGAACUAAUUUUAAUUUAUUUUUCUUUCUUUUUUUUCUUUUACUUUCUCUCUCUCUCUCCGCCCCUUUCUUUCUUUCUUUUUUCUUUCUCCCAGAUCCUGUCUCUUUCUCUCUCGAUCUCUCAAUCUCCCUUCCUUUCUUUUUUUUCUCCCAAAUCUUCUCUCCCUCUCAAUCUCUCUAUUUUUUUUCUUUCUCCCAAAUCCUCUCUCAAUCUCCCUCCCUCGAUUUCUUUUUUCCUUUUUCUUUCUCUACUGCCUAGAUCCUCUUUCUCUCUCUCAAUCUCCCUCCAUACCUUUCUUUUUUUUGUCUUUAUUUUAUUUUCUUCUUCUUCCCCCCCCCCCCCCCCCCCUCUCUCUAUCUCACUCUCUUGGAGGUCGGGGAAGAUGUUGGCUCGGAGGGCAAAGGUUUGUGUGGGUGGAUCUGCAGAAAAAAGAAGAAAUAGAAGCAGGGAGGAAGAAAGAAGAAGAGAGGAGGAAGAAGUCAAAGAAAAAAGAAGAAGAGAGGUAUCGUGGGAUAGAGAGAGAUUUGAUUUUUUUUCUUUUUUUUAUAUAGUUUUUAGUUGUUUUUAAUUUAAAAAAGAAUGAUGUGGCAUUGUUAUUUAAUAUGUGGUCCAGUAAAUUAUAGAUACGUGUAUUCAAAUUGGCAGUUAACAACCAUAACAAAUGAAGAUCUUAAAAUUGCUAACGGAACGGAGGAUUGUGAGGUUUCACCAGCAAAAAAAAAAGAAUGGGGGGUUAAGUGUAGCAAACGGUAAAAAUAGGGGUUUUCGCCACUAAUUACUCUUUUUUUUUUUAAAUAAAAUAAAUGGUUCAAGUCUAAAACAACUUCCUUCCCUCGUUAUAUCAUUUCUGACCUUUUUUUUUUUCUUUUUUGGCUUUUCCUUCUCUGAAUUUUUUCUUCAUUUUUUUUACUUCUUCGUUGACUACCGAAAUUGAUUGCCAUUUCCCCUCCGCUGCUCUCAUAUGGUCUUCCUCAGUCAAUGUCCAUUAUUCUCCCUCCGUCGUUGGUACCAGCCGCCCACUUAGAGAGAGGAGAGGGAGAGAGCUCGUGGAAGAAGAAAGAAAGAAAGAGAGGGAGAGAAAACGUGAAAGAAAAGGAGAAGAAGAAGAAGGAAGGGGAUUCAAAAAUCCCUAUAGGUUGUUCAAAGAGGGUGGCCAUUUUGUUUUGGUCUUUGUGUUCUUAAGGCAAAAUCAAGAGAUGGAUAUUCAAGUUGGAUUACCUUGUGCACCUUAUUUUAUGGAUGGGUCUCCUCAAGCAGUGCAACAGUUGCACAAUCUUGUGUCUCAGGUUUUCUCCUCACCUUCCACACUUUUUUUCUCCUAAGUAGGAAUACCUGAAGCAAGAAUAUUAAACAACAAAACAAGAAGAGUGAGACCGUGAGAUAUAUUUGUACUGUGUUCGUAUCAAAAGAAUAUGAAAAGAAUUGAUAAAUAAACACACACACACACAACAUUUUCUAUAUGUAUGAUCGACAUUCUAAAAAUCUUGAUCGGAGCUAUA